rnacentral:lncRNA from 1 species
AAUGACCUGGUUUUCUACAAAUGGUGCUCAGGGAGGCUCCUAAACCCUGCAGGGAGAUGUCUGCAGCUUUCGGGCGGCCUCCUCCGGGGACGCCACCUUCCUCCUCCCACACCAGCCGGGCCGCAGCGCGGCUGGGUCAGGCGCUGGGGACCCGCCUGCGGGGCGCAGCACCUCGGAGCGGCGGAGGUGAGGCGCACCACGCCCUCCCUUUCCGCCAAGCUUCCGCUCCCUACUCGGAUCCUUUCUCGGCUCCCCCAGGCACCAGCCCUCAUCUACACAGGGUGAUUUCCUUUCCAGUAGCUGUUCUCCAGAGGUGCUCAGAAGCGAUUCCCAGAGGAGCCAAUACCUCUUCCAGAAUGAACCCUUCAAAACAAUGUGUAAACCAAAAUGCUUGUGUGAGCUUCAAACAAUUGAAAGCGGUUUCAGAACAUCUGAAGGAUCUGUGUCAGCCUCCAAGGCUGAUCUAAGGGCUCACAGAGCUGUGUUUGUCUAUGUGCCUGUUUAACAACUCCUGGGGA